rnacentral:lncRNA from 1 species
AACAGCCCUUCCUGGGAAAUCAACAUCCUGCAGGGUACAUGCCAAGCCACAGGCAGCUGCAACCCCAUGGGAGUAAGGCCUCUGCUAUUAUUCCAAGGUUUGGAAAAAAAUCAGAUGUGGAAAUAUAAACAGCCAGCAUUCCAAAUUCCCUCUGUGUUGUGCACUUGUCCUCUCGUGUGCUCUCUUAAAAAGACUCUCAAACUCCAUCUUCUCAAGGACAUUCAAGGUCAAACAGAAUGAAUGUGCUUCUGCUCAAAGUGGCUCCAUCACCUUUGUCUCUCCCCGACGUAGGCUGGAUUCCGAGUCACUGUGUGGACGCAACUGUCAGUAAAAUCAACUUCGCAAAGGACUUUCUGUAAGGAACCCAACCUCAGCAGACGAAAACUGUCUCUGACCAGGGAAAGCAGGGAAUCACUUCCGCUCAUGGGCGGCGCUCCAAGAGGAAGUCGAGUGCAUAACAGAUGGCCAAGUUUCCCUGUUCUAGUCUUGAGAUGAAGCAAGCGCUUUGUCGAGGAGGCCACAGCAAAUGGAAGACCUAUAUGCUUGCCUUGGUUUUGUAGCCAUCUCUGACAUGUCCCUAAAUGGGGUCCUUCUCACUAUUUUAUUUCAUCAGCAACUUGUUUUCAAAUCGAGGAUUUGGUAACUCUCAGUCGCUUUUAUCUCUAAAGGAAAAUGCAAUUUUUACUGGUGACAGUGCUCUUCAAAGUUUAAUUUGUAUGUUGCCUAUCUACGAGUUCUUGCUGAAGUCCCCUUGUUAGCACAGGGCUCCUGUUUCCUCUCUGACCCUCUGAAGCUAAUGACAGCUGCAUUAUACUGCAGAGGUAAUCAAUAGCCUCCUAUGGCGGAUCACAUCCAAUCAGACCCUUAUGAAAUUAGUGCAGUGGAGAUAUAUGUAUAUAUCUUAAUUAAAAC